rnacentral:rRNA from 1 species
GACGAACGCUGGCGGCGUGCCUAAUACAUGCAAGUAGAACGCUGAAGAGAGGAGCUUACUCUUCUUGGAUGAGUUGCGAACGGGUGAGUAACGCGUAGGUAACCUGCCUUGUAGCGGGGGAUAACUAUUGGAAACGAUAGCUAAUACCGCAUAACAAUGGAUGACACAUGUCAUUUAUUUGAAAGGGGCAAUUGCUCCACUACAAGAUGGACCUGCGUUGUAUUAGCUAGUAGGUGAGGUAAUGGCUCACCUGGGCGACGAUACAUAGCCGACCUGAGAGGGUGAUCGGCCACACUGGGACUGAGACACGGCCCAGACUCCUACGGGAGGCAGCAGUAGGGAAUCUUCGGCAAUGGGGGCAACCCUGACCGAGCAACGCCGCGUGAGUGAAGAAGGUUUUCGGAUCGUAAAGCUCUGUUGUAAGUCAAGAACGGGUGUGAGAGUGGAAAGUUCACACUGUGACGGUAGCUUACCAGAAAGGGACGGCUAACUACGU